rnacentral:snRNA from 1 species
CUCCGGGCGUCGGCCUGUG